UACGUAGGGGGCAAGCGUUGUCCGGAUUUAUUGGGCGUAAAGAGCUCGUAGGCGGUUUGGUAAGUCUGGUGUGAAAUCUCCACGCUCAACGUGGAGGGGCCGUUCGAUACUGUCGUGACUCGAGUCCGGUAGGGGAGUGUGGAAUUCCCGGUGUAGCGGUGAAAUGCGCAGAGAUCGGGAGGAACACCCGUAGCGAAGGCGGCACUCUGGGCCGGUACUGACGCUGAGGCGCGAAAGCUAGGGGAGCAACAGG
rnacentral:rRNA from 1 species